GCUCAAGCCCCUCUCUGUCUUGCAAUGCCAGGCCUGGAUUAUAUCAUUUUUAACAGCAAAUUAAAACAGCAAUUUGUAGCCAAGGAGGCAGCGCUAUUGGCUGUAAAUAUAUCAGACAACAGCAAUUUGAGAAGUCAGGGUGUGGGUGGAUGGUGGAUUUGGAUCAGAAAGGAAAGAGACAGCAAGUGUAGGCUAAAAGCCAGUUUGGAGAGGCAGUCAGAUGGGGUUGCUGAAGAGAGCAAAGUGAGGACUGAAGAGUGGAUGCAAGAAGUAAAAGGAGAAAACUAGCAACCUGUUGAGGAAAAACCCCAGAGACCACCAAGCAAGAGCUAUUUGCUGGAAAUUCACAUUUCAAUGGAACCACAGGAACAGAAUGUCACAUGCGAGAGGCAGAAACCUUUCUAGUGAAUGCAGAGCAGAAGCUGGAUGAAAGUCGAGCAGCCAUUUUGUUACAGGAACCUACAGCACCUCUGAAGUACUCCCUACAGAGUGUCACUGUGGGAUGAAACCCUUCUUUUGAAUACAGGGAGGAAAAUGGAAUUAGAACUGAAACAUACGAAUAGAUUUUUUUCAAGUCGGCUUUAAUGAAAUUUGAGCUGAAAA